ensembl:lncRNA
CCUUCUGCUGCUGUGACUCACACUGCAGUGAAUAGUGCUGUACAGAUACCACAGAAGGCCUUUGUGAUGUGCUCUGUGUCACCCGAAGAUGAAAUGAGCCAUCCGAGACACAUUUGUAAAAUGAACGGGAAAUGAAAGCCUUUGCCUGGCUACAUGGGGGUUUCCAAACUGACCCGGGGGCCCUGGAGCUCCUGUUCAAAGGCCCCAGAGAGGCGGAGACAAGCAGGACUCGGACCAAGCGCCCUCACCUCCACCCAGAAUCACCCCCGUUUCAAUCCCUCCUUCAUUCCAAUCAUGUUUUUACUUCCUUGUGCUGGGGGACGGGGCAGACAGCAGGGACAAACAGCCCGCAGGCCCUGCCCCUUAUGGAGGCUGCGUGCUAGAGGAGGAGGCCUGUAUAUGGCACGUCCCAUGCUAGCCUCUGAGGAGAAGAAAGAUGUUGUGAAGAAGGACAGGGAACGUCAGGCGUAGGGUCAAGAUGGUGGAUCUUGUAGCCGGGAAAGGCUUCACUCGUUAAAAAGGUGAUUUUCAAAAAAAAAAAAAAAAGUUUUUUUAACAGAGAAGUAAUUCAUAUGCCGUAAAAUUCACCAUGUUCAAGUUUGCAGCUCAGUGCUUGACAGGCUAUUCACAGAGUUGUGCGUCACUGCCCGCCACUCUCUCAUUCAAGGACACCUUCAUAAAAGGUGGCAUUGAAGACCUUGAGCUAGACAUCCCCUGCUGUCUCCUCUGAGUGCUCUCCCUGCCCUGAGGGGCUGUCCUGGGGGGGGAGCGGGUUCACCAGGUGGGGGCACCAGCAGGAGAGUGGGGGGAGGCAGAGGGUGAGUGGGUCCCCUCCCAUGGGACUGCUGUGGCUGGCCGCAUCCCUUGGCCAGAGGCCACAGUCCUCCCCAUACAGCCUGUUCUCUCCAGGGUCCAGUGGCUUUCCUGUCCCUGUCCCUGUCCCCGUCCCCCUCCCCGAGGUUUAGGGGCUGGCUCCCGCUAUUUCCAGCCCUGGUCACUGCAGUGUCCCUGCAGGACUCCGUCCACACCUCUGUAAAUAACCUCUCUGUUAAACUCUUCUCAAGCUGCCUGAUCCAAGGGUACCAGCUCUUCCUGCAGGAAACCCGAUGCCAGGCACUGAUGGAAAUGAGGGAGCCAGCCACGCAGAGGGAAGCAGGCAGACAGAGCCACAGCAUGGACUGCAAACUCAGAGGUCAGCCACACCGAUGGGGAGCGUGCCUGAGGUACCCAGGGAGCAGCAGGAGCCCCCAGUGGGUGGCAGCCAGAGGGCCUUGUGGCUGUGAAUUUCGUGGUGUUCAUCAGCUUCUUAAAAUUUGUAAUUUGGAAUGAUUUUUAAAAUCAAGCCAGCUCCAGCCAGGUAUGGCCUCGUGGCUGUGGUCAGAACUGUGGCUUUUCCUCUAAGGGAGAUGGGCAGCCCUGGGGGCUUCGGAGCAGAGGAGCCACAGGGUCUGACUUACAUUUGAAAAGAUCCUUCAGUUGCUGCGUUAAGAAUCGAUGAGGAGGCCGGGCGCGGUGGCUCAAGCCUGUAAUCCCAGCACUUUGGGAGGCCGAGACGGGCGGAUCACGAGGUCAGGAGUUCGAGACCAUCCUGGCUAACACGGUGAAACCCCGUCUCUACUAAAAAAUACAAAAAACUAGCCGGGCGAGGGUGGCGAGCCUGUAGUCCCGGCUACUCGGGAGGCUGAGGCAGGAGAAUGGCGUAAAAACCCGGGAGGCAGAGCUUGCAGUGAGCUGAGAUCCGGCCACUGCACUCCAGCCUGGGCGACACAGCGAGACUCCGUCUCAAAAAAAAAAAAAAAA